UUGCAUGCGGAAAUGUCUGCUCCUCAUUCCUUUGGAAGCAGGAAUACAUCCAUAACAUGCUACGUUAAAAAAGGAGUUCUCAGGGCUGCCAAUCUUACAGUAGAGGUUGAGUAGUAACACAUUUCUCCUACAUUA
ensembl:snoRNA small nucleolar RNA U109